CUGAAAUUUUAAAGGUGCUCAACCAUGUUUGAACCCGUGGUGACUGGGCUCGCUCUGUGGCAGACGAGCGCCCGGUGAGGGACACUUGCUGACAGCGGCGUCCCCUGGGGCAGGACGGGCUUGUGUCCACCGUGGCAGCGUCCCAGCACUUUGAACUCAGAGUCGCCGGCUGGGAGUCCUGUGCCUGCCCAAGCCCUCCUCCACCAUGCAUUCAGAAUCACGUCUGAGGAAAGAUGGACAGUCUGUCACUGGGACCCAGGGCUGAGGUAACAGAGAUGCUGCUGGGGAACCUGUGCUCCCUGAACCUGCCGAAGAUCCCUUUCUCUGGCGCAGAGCUACGUCCAGAUGCAGGCAUUCCUGAAGGAAGCGUCAAGCUGGUCACACUUCUUCACGAAACCCUCUUUCUCACGUGUUAGACGAGCUCCACGGGACACCCCCAGUCCUCCAAGGACAAGCCGUGGUGCCUUUGGAGUUUUCCUGAAGCAGCACGGAGAACAAAAUCCACUCACCCCCAGUCAAAUCUGGGUUCAUAAAUGAUAACCUGAAAGUACUGACUCGGAUCUUUAAAACCCUAGCAGUGCGGAGGAAGAACCAGAACCGCCCACCACUCAGAACUGCGUCCUGUGCCUGCCCCAGCCAUGUUGAUCGCCAGGUUUCAUGGUGUUACAAGAGCCGGAUGGAAUUGAGACUUAAAGAAAUGUUCACUUAAAUGCCGCCUCACGGACGUAAGGGGGACACCAGCUCCCACGUACAAACA